rnacentral:rRNA from 1 species
CACUAGCGUAUAUUAAAGUUGUUGCAGUUAAAAAGCUCGUAGUUGAACUUCUGGGGCUCGCCAGGCGCGGCUUCGGUCAGCCUGGGGAGCUUCAUCGGUCUGUGAACUUUUUCUUCCUUCACUGGUUAGAUCUAGGGAGCAGACGCUUUACCUUGAAAAAAUUAGAGUGUUUCAGGCAGGCAAUCGCUUGAAUACAUUAGCAUGGAAUAAUGGAAUAGGACUGUGGCUAUUUUGUUGGUUAUUAGUUGCAGUAAUGAUUAAUAGGGACAGUUGGGGGCAUUAGUAUUUAAUUGUCAGAGGUGAAAUUCUUGGAUUUAUUAAAGACUAACUUAUGCGAAAGCAUUUGCCAAGGAUGUUUNCAUUGA